rnacentral:rRNA from 1 species
ACGUAGGGGGCAAGCGUUAUCCGGAUUUACUGGGUGUAAAGGGAGCGUAGACGGAUGGACAAGUCUGAUGUGAAAGACUGGGGCUCAACCCCGGGACUGCAUUGGAAACUGCCCGUCUUGAGUGCCGGAGAGGUAAGCGGAAUUCCUAGUGUAGCGGUGAAAUGCGUAGAUAUUAGGAGGAACACCAGUGGCGAAGGCGGCUUACUGGACGGUAACUGACGUUGAGGCUCGAAAGCGUGGGGAGCAAACAG